UAGGGAAUAUUGCGCAAUGGGGGCAACCCUGACGCAGCAAUGCCGCGUGAGUGAGGAAGGCCUUCGGGUUGUAAAGCUCUGUCCUUGGGGAAAAAUAGGGUAGUAGUUAAUAGCUAUUAUCUGUGAUGGUACCCGAGAAGAAAGCACCGGCUAACUUCGUGCCAGCAGCCGCGGUAAUACGAAGGGUGCAAGCGUUGUUCGGAUUUAUUGGGCGUAAAGCGCGCGCAGGCGGAUCAGUAAGUCAGAUGUGAAAUCUCGGGGCUUAACCCCGAAAUUGCGUCUGAAACUACUUGUCUUGAAUACUGGAGAGGGAAGGGGAAUUUCUCAUGUAGGGGUAAAAUCCGUAGAGAUGAGAAGGAACACCAGAGGCGAAGGCGCCUUCCUGGACAGUUAUUGACGCUGAGGUGCGAAAGCGUGGGGAGCAAACAG
rnacentral:rRNA from 1 species